AUUGAACGCUGGCGGCAUGCCUUACACAUGCAAGUCGAACGGCAGCACGGGAGCAAUCCUGGUGGCGAGUGGCGAACGGGUGAGUAAUACAUCGGAACGUGCCCAGUAGUGGGGGAUAGCCCGGCGAAAGCCGGAUUAAUACCGCAUACGACCUACGGGUGAAAGCGGGGGAUCGCAAGACCUCGCGCUAUUGGAGCGGCCGAUGUCAGAUUAGCUAGUUGGUAGGGUAAAAGCCUACCAAGGCGACGAUCUGUAGCUGGUCUGAGAGGACGACCAGCCACACUGGGACUGAGACACGGCCCAGACUCCUACGGGAGGCAGCAGUGGGGAAUUUUGGACAAUGGGCGCAAGCCUGAUCCAGCCAUGCCGCGUGUGGGAAGAAGGCCUUCGGGUUGUAAACCACUUUUGUCAGGGAAGAAACGGUCUGAUCUAAUAAAUCGGACUAAUGACGGUACCUGAAGAAUAAGCACCGGCUAACUACGUGCCAGCAGCCGCAGUAACAC
rnacentral:rRNA from 1 species